UGCAAACCAAGGACAGAGGCUUCAGAAGAAUUUCACACUUGGCUGACACCCUAGUCUUGGACUUCUAGCCUCCAGAAGGUUAAGAAAACAAAUGUCUGUUGUUUAAGCCACCUAUCUAUGGCCAUGAUUACUAAUGGAAAACUUCAGUCUUGCCAGCUGAAUUCAGGCCCUCUGUAUUCUACCUCUUAAGAAGAAGAAGCAACAUCGGGAGUCAUAUCGAAGAACAUUAUUAGGCCAUAGUUCUGAGAGAAGACGGUCAUAUCUCCACUUCCCUUUUAGAAAAGUUUACCUCCAUCCCCACAUCAAACUUGAGAAAAUGAAACAGGAACAACAAGGGGCUCCUUGGAGAGAAGCAAUACAGGCUAAAUUGUUCAAAGGUGGGUUUUUUGUUUUGUUUUGUUUUGUGAAUAGUUCCCAGAAGUUGUCCUGUUCAGUAACUUUUCUUUGAUGUCCUCAUAGAGUUUGAUCACAUGUGACAGUUUCAGAUUUAAACACCAGUGGAACCCCUCUGUAAAUUUUAGUGCUCUUUUCUCGUGUUGCUCCCUUACCUACAGUUGUGCCCUGAAAGUUCCAGCUGCCUUAGCUUCCCUGAUCUCUGCUUGCUAAUUCCUCAACUGAGCAAAAAUGUCACCCGUGCAUAGAUUCUCUCUCCCUGCUCCAUAAUUUGGAACAUGCAUCCAGGCAGAAAGCUGAAAUGAUUUUUUUUCCUUCUUUAAGGGCAGUCAGCUUUUGGCAUGGAUCAGUGUCUGGAAACAGUUGUUUU